rnacentral:rRNA from 1 species
GAUGAACGCUGGCGGCGUGCCUAAUACAUGCAAGUCGAGCGAACAGAUGAGGAGCUUGCUCCUCUGACGUUAGCGGCGGACGGGUGAGUAACACGUGGAUAACCUACCUAUAAGACUGGGAUAACUUCGGGAAACCGGAGCUAAUACCGGAUAAUAUAUUGAACCGCAUGGUUCAAUAGUGAAAGACGGUUUUGCUGUCACUUAUAGAUGGAUCCGCGCCGCAUUAGCUAGUUGGUAAGGUAACGGCUUACCAAGGCAACGAUGCGUAGCCGACCUGAGAGGGUGAUCGGACACGCUGGAACUGAGACACGGUCCAGACUCCUACGGGAGGCAGGAGUAGGGAAUCUUCCGCAAUGGGCGAAGGGCUGACGGAGCAACGCCGCGUGAGUGAUGAAGGUCUUCGGAUCGUAAUACUCAGUUAUUAGGGAAGAAAAAAUGUGUAAGUAACUAUGCACGUCUUGACGGUACCUAAUCAGAAAGCCACGGCGAACUACG